rnacentral:rRNA from 1 species
GAAACGACUGCUAAGACUGGAUAGGAGACAAGAAGGCAUCUUCUUGUUUUUAAAAGACCUAGCAAUAGGUAUGCUUAGGGAGGAGCUUGCGUCAUAUUAGUUAGUUGGUGGGGUAAAGGCCUACCAAGACUAUGAUGUGUAGCCGGGCUGAGAGGUUGAACGGCCACAUUGGGACUGAGACACGGCCCAAACUCCUACGGGAGGCAGCAGUAGGGAAUUUUCGGCAAUGGAGGAAACUCUGACCGAGCAACGCCGCGUGAACGAUGAAGUAUUUCGGUACGUAAAGUUCUUUUAUUAGGGAAGAAUAAAUGAUGGAAAAAUCAUUCUGACGGUACCUAAUGAAUAAGCCCCGGCUAACUAUGUGCCAGCAGCCGCGGUAAUACAUAGGGGGCAAGCGUUAUCCGGAAUUAUUGGGCGUAAAGGGUGCGUAGGCGGUUAAAUAAGUUUAUGGUCUAAGUGCAAUGCUCAACAUUGUGAUGCUAUAAAAACUGUUUAGCUAGAGUAAGAUAGAGGCAAGUGGAAUUCCAUGUGUAGUGGUAAAAUGCGUAAAUAUAUGGAGGAACACCAGUAGCGAAGGCGGCUUGCUGGGUCUUUACUGACGCUGAGGCACGAAAGCGUGGGGAGCAAACAGGAUUAGAUACCCUGGUAGUCCACGCCGUAAACGAUGAGUACUAAACGUUGGGUAAAACCAGUGUUGAAGUUAACACAUUAAGUACUCCGCCUGAGUAGUACGUACGCAAGUAUGAAACUUAAAGGAAUUGACGGGACUCCGCACAAGCGGUGGAUCAUGUUGUUUAAUUCGAAGGUACCCGAAAAACCUCACCAGGUCUUGACAUGCUUCUGCAAAGCUGUAGAAACACAGUGGAGGUUAUCAGUUGCACAGGUGGUGCAUGGUUGUCGUCAGCUCGUGUCGUGAGAUGUUGGGUUAAGUCCCGCAACGAGCGCAACCCUUAUUGUUAGUUACCAGCACGUAAUGGUGGGGACUUUAGCAAGACUGCCAGUGAUAAAUUGGAGGAAGGUGGGGAUGACGUCAAAUCAUCAUGCCCCUUAUGACCUGGGCUACAAACGUGAUACAAUGGCUGUUACAAAGGGUAGCUGAAGCGCAAGUUUUUGGCGAAUCUCAAAAAAACAGUCUCAGUUCGGAUUGAAGUCUGCAACUCGACUUCAUGAAGUUGGAAUCGCUAGUAAUCGCGAAUCAGCAUGUCGCGGUGAAUACGUUCUCGGGGUUUGUACACACCGCCCGUCA